rfam:Stegodyphus mimosarum contig16997, whole genome shotgun sequence.
GCCUUCGUGGUGUAGUGGUCAGCACACUCGACGUGUAUUCGAGACAUCAGUGGUUCGACUCCCGGCGAAGACA